rnacentral:lncRNA from 14 species
CAGGGCUGAGGAUUUAUCAGACACACUAGACCGAAGGAAGAGUGGAACUGCCUUGCUUGGAGCUCAUAAAAUGCUUUACAGCCUCACCCUGCAUAUCUUUGGACUCACAAGCAAUACGAGCUACCAACCCUCCAGGCCUGGGGAGUACACUGCAUCCCUUGAUCAUCAGCUCCAAAACUGCAGAUGCAAGGUGACUGACAACCACUACCACAAUUCGUCCCUGAGCUUCUUCUAAUGACUUCACUUCUAUUUCUUUCUGGCUUUCCAAGAUUAUGAGAGAUGCUUUGGUUAGUAAGGUGAAGCUUGCCACUUUUGGAUGAGACCUUGGGUAUGAUUCUCCACGUUUCCUUCUUUUGUCUAUGGAGCACAAGGCCAGAAAGGGAGUCUCCAUGAGCCUGAGAUCCCAAGUGACUGUGACAUUCAGAAUCUGCCCUUGCCACCCCAUCCCUCCCAUGUUAUUCACAAAGCAUUAGAAGACCAUUAAUAGAAAACUAUGUCCUUCCGGUCAAAACAUUAAAAAAAUUAAAAAAAAA